rnacentral:rRNA from 1 species
UACGGGGGGGGUAAGCGUUGUUCGGAAUUACUGGGCGUAAAGGGCUCGUAGGCGGCCAACUAAGUCAGACGUGAAAUCCCUCAGCUUAACUGGGGAACUGCGUCUGAUACUGGAUGGCUUGGAUUCGGGAGAGGAAUGCGGAAUUCCAGGUGUAGCGGUGAAAUGCGUAGAUAUGCGGAGGAACACCGAUGGCGAAGGCAAUCCCCUGGGCCUGCACUGACGCUCAUGCACGAAAGCGUGGGGAGCAAACAGG